UACGGGGGGGGCAAGCGUUGUUCGGAAUUACUGGGCGUAAAGGGCGAGUAGGUGGCCAUCUAAGUCAGACGUGAAAUCCCCCGGCUUAACCUGGGAACUGCGUCUGAUACUGGACGGCUUGAGUAUGGGAGAGGGAUGCGGAAUUCCAGGUGUAGCGGUGAAAUGCGUAGAGAUCGGGAGGAACACCCGUAGCGAAGGCGGCCACCUGGGCCGACCCUGACGCUGAGGCGCGAAGGCCAGGGGAGCGAACGGG
rnacentral:rRNA from 1 species